UCUGUAAUUUUUUGUUGCGCGAAAUUUUUAUUUUUACCACCAUUCUCUAUCCUACUAUAUAUAUUAUCAUUUUCUUUAAAAUUCUAAGUUUUGACUACGGUUUGAGAAGACAAAGAGAGUGAAGAUAGUGAUUCUUUCACUUUUCAAAGCUGAAAGGAGGGAUCCUUACACCUAGAGUAGAAUCACCCCAAGAUUGAAAAGAGAAAAUUGAUUGAGAGCUUCAAGUCACACUGAAAGGCAAAGGAAAAGUAUUUGUUUGUCGUAGUUUGCUACAACUAACUGGCAACAUAUGUGAUAGUGUAAAUGUAAACGGGGUCUACGAAUACGCUACAAGUACUCGUGUUUUGACUGGUGAGGAAUGUCGCUUGGUUGGUCAGUCGGUCGGUCUACCAGUCGAUGACUGAGCGAUCCGAAACUAUAUUGCUCUACGGGUGACGAACAGUAAUAAAGAGUAAACAAGAGAGGCAAUGAUCAAAUCGCAAGUGUAUUAGUGUAUUAUAUUGAACCAUCUCUUGUGACGUGGGAAUUUCUCAUGAAUGAAUUAGUACCUAGUGCUUAA